rnacentral:rRNA from 1 species
UGGGGGAUAUUGCACAAUGGGCGAAAGCCUGAUGCAGCGACGCCGCGUGGGGGAUGAAGGCUUUCGGGUUGUAAACCUCUUUCGCUAUCGAACAAGGCCCGCUUAGGGUGGGUUGAGGGUAGGUGGAGAAGAAGCGCCGGCUAACUACGUGCCAGCAGCCGCGGUAAUACGUAGGGCGCGAGCGUUGUCCGGAAUUAUUGGGCGUAAAGGGCUUGUAGGCGGCUUGUUGCGCCUGCUGUGAAAACGCGGGGCUUAACUUCGCGCGUGCAGUGGGUACGGGCAGGCUUGAGUGUGGUAGGGGUGACUGGAAUUCCAGGUGUGGCGGUGGAAUGCGCAGAUAUCUGGAGGAACACCGAUGGCGAAGGCAGGUCACUGGGCCAUUACUGACGCUGAGGAGCGAAAGCAUGGGUAGCGAACAGG